rnacentral:lncRNA from 1 species
UUUUUUUUUUUUUUGUAAGCCAAGAAAAGAAAAGUUGUCGAGUGCUAAGUUGACGGGGAACUUCAUGAUAUCCCAUAGAAGGAUAAAUUCAUCAUAACAUAUAGAUAAUUAAAUUCUCAACACCAUAUAGAAGGUCAAAUCCAUCGCAACAUAUAGAAGGAAAAAUACAUCUCAACAUAUAGACGAAUAAAUUCAUAUCAGCAUAUAGACGGACAAAUUUUCAUCACGGAUAAAUUCACAUCAUUAUAUAGACGGACAAAUAUAUAUUAUUAUAUAAACGGACAAAUCCCUAUCACCAGUAGACGGACAUAUCAAUAUCAACAUAUAGACGGACAAAUUCAUAUCAACAUAUAGAAGAUUAACCCCAUGACAACAUAUGGAAGCAAAAAUUCUUAAUCGCAUCUAAAAAUUUGCCUAAAGCACAAAGGACUAGAAUUUUCUCCUCCUUUAGUCAAUUGUCAUUGCCAAACAAUAUUUUAAAACCAACUUUAUAUUGCACCAUGCUGUCAAUUUCAGAUUUGUGCAGUCUCAUAAAAUAAUUCGUAUCUUGGUGUAGAAAUGUCGAAAAUACGAACCGUUUGAUUUUUUGGAAACUAGACUUCAAAAUCUAAGACAUAUCUAAAAUUCAGAAUCAAACACUUUCAGAAUCGUACCAGAUAUUAUUUUGAAACUAACUUUAAAUUCCGACAUGUUGAUAGUUUCAGAUUUGUGCGGCUUCACCAAAAAAAUUAUAUCUUGGUGUAGAAAUGUCAAAAUCAUGAACCACAUAAUUUUUCGAAAAUUAGACUUCAAGAUCUAAGACAUAUCCAAAAUUCGGAAUCAAACACCCUCAAAGUUGUCCCAGAUAAUAUUUUAAAAUUAACUUUAGAUUCUGACACGUUGACAGUUUCAGAUUUGCGCAGCUUCACCAAAAUAUUUGUAUCUUAGUGUAGGUAUAUCAAAAUCAUGAACCGUUUAACUUCAAAAUCUAAAUCAUAUCCAAAUUACAAGAUUUAAUACCUUAAGUAUAGUUUCAGAUAAUAUUUUGAAAUCAACUCAAAAUUCCGACACACUAACGAUUUCAAACUUGCACGAUUUCACCAAAAAACUUUAUAUCUUGGUGUAUGAACGUCGAAAUCACGAACCGUUUGAUUUCUUGAAAACAAGACUUCAAAAUAUAAAACAUGUCCAAAAUGUAGGAUUUAAUACCUUAAGUAUAGUUUCAGAUAGUAUUUUGAAAUCAACAUUAGAUUUUGAUAUACCGACAAUUCUGAAUUGGCGCGACUUCGCCAAAACUUUUAUGUUUUGGUAUGGAAGCCUCGGGAUCACAAAACAUUUUUCUUGCUAUCAAUAAAAAUUCAAGAGCUCCAUUCUCACAAAUAUCUUGGGUUCAAGUCUCACUGAAUUUGAAAUAUUGUGCCAAGUAAUCUUUCGUCUUAUAGUUGUGUCCUUUUGGCGCCUCUCUUCUCUUCCCUUUUUUUAGGGCAGUGAGCGGAUAUGAAGACUAACAAACUUGAAAGUUAUGCGAACAUGAAGACAUAGAGAAUUUUCAGACUUCAAUACAAAUACUUUGUAACCUCCUAAAAGACUAUAAUUAUUUUAUUGAAGACACCAAUUUACCAUAGCGGCUUCCCUCCCUUUUAAUCAAACGGGAUCCAAAGUUUAACAGAAGAAUGAUAUCUCAACUCGAUUUUCAAGUUCUGAGUGAAUAGAUUACAUUCCAUCAUACUUCAUUCGAACAACAAUUGUGGCUCUAUGUAUCUUUCGAACUCAUGCGACUAAACUUAGAAUGAAACUCUAAACUGCCUACGUACCUCGGUAAAGACGAUCAAGUCAUACCGUAGUUCAGAAUAGGUGAGUUUUCUUUUUUCCUUUACUAUUAUUAUUAUUAUUAUUAUUAUUAUUAUUAUUAUUAUUAUUAUUAUUAUUAUUAUUAUUAUUAUUAUUAUUAUUAUGUCCUAACAAUUGCCUAGGCCGCCUCUUUUGAUAUUUUAAACCUAGAGGACUUUAUUUUUGGUGGGCCAUACACAGUUUAAAUUCAUGCGGGCCAGGAGUGACAUGCAGUUUAUACUCUUGAAAGUUUGGCGUAGUGACUUGCAAUUUAAGCUCGUAUUUUGAUAAGCUUUGCAACUUGAAGAUUUUGCUCAAAUUUGAAGAGUUUCAUGACAUACGGUUUAGGCUCGUGCGUCUAGGAGCAUUGUAACUUGAAGAUUUUGCUCGAAUUUGAAGAGUUUCACAACUUGAAAACUUUGCUCAAAUUUUAAGAGCUUUGCGUCUUAAAGUUUGGCUCAAAUUUGAAAAGCUUUGCAACUUGAAGUCUUAGCUCAACUUUGAAGAGCUUUCUACUUGAGUCUUUGCUUGAAUUUGAAAAGCUUUGCAACUUAAAGACAUUGCUCGACUUUGAAGAGCUUUACGUCUUAAAGUUUGGCUCUAAUUUGAAAAGCUUUGUGACUUGAAAUCUUCGCUCGACUUUGAAGAGAUUUCGACUUGGGUCUUUGCUCGAAUUUGAAGAGCUUUGCAACUUGAAGACUUUGCUCGAAUUUGAAUAACUUGAUGUCUUAAAGAUUUAGUUCAAAAUUGGGGAACUUCGUGACAUAUAAUAUAGACUCAUGUGCCAAGAAGCAUUACAACACGCAGUUUAGGCUCGUGCGUUGAGAAGCAUUAUAACUUGCAGUUUAGGCUCAUGCAUUGAGGAGCAUUAUCACUUGCAGUUUAGGCUCAUGCAUUGAGGAGCAUAGUGACAUACAUAGACUCUUCGAUUUUAUUUCAGAUGAAAAGUUGCCCCCAUCCUUGCCUUCUUGUUUUUCUUCUUCAUCGUCGUAAGGCUUAAAGACAGGUUUGGUCUCCACUUGUGGCCAUAAUUAGUUCCAUAUCAUGGGCACUAGUUUCUAGUUCUUCGAAUAUUUUGGGCUUUAUGUCUUGUAAUAUAUAGCGAAGACCCCAAUGUAUGCGUUGAAUGCACAUUUCGAUGCCAGAAGUUUCGCUAAGGAGAUCUUUGCAGUUGAAGCUUAAGCUCAUCCAAUGGUUAAUGAAGUCAAUAACAGGCUCAUCCUUUCGUUGAUGAGAGUUUGUGAGUUCGAUCAUGCUUACGAUACGUUUUGUGCUAUAGAAGCGAUUGAGAAACACAUGCUCUAACUACUCCCAACUAUCAAUGGAACCAGAUUUCGAGAUCUGUGUACCAAUCUAAUGCAUUACCUCUAAGAGAUCAAUCAAAUUGUUUGACAAGAUAAUCACCAUACGUUCCAGCAUUGUUGCAAGUUUCAACAAAGUGUGCUAUAUGUUGUUUCAGAUUUCCCUUCCCGUCUAAUUGUCGUAACUUAGGAGGUUGAUAACCAACAUAAAUCUUCAAGUUAUCAAUUCUUCGCGUAUACGGCUUUGCAUACUAGAUAUUUUGGGCGACGACUCAGGAAUCAGGGUUAUCUUUGAUCCACGAGCUCCUGUGUGUCUUCUUGUUAUAACUUUUGGUCCCUUUUCUGAGUUAUGAAGACCCCUAUUUAUAGUUGUGGGAGGGAAGAGUUAUGAUAAGAACAAAUUCUUUCCGACCAAUCAGACUGCAGAGUGACAAGGCCAUAUUUGAUUGGCCCGAACAUGUCACUUGCACAUGUGGCGCAGUUUUAUUGGCCUUUUAAUUUGGAUUGGCAUGCCUUGUCAUUUUGACAUGUGGCACGAUCCUAUUGGCUCUUUCGUUUGACUUGGCAUGCCACGUCAUUUGACAUGUGACACCAAAGUGGGCCUCUAGGAAGAUGAGUAGGCUCAUCAUUUGUAGCCCAAUUAAAUGGGCUAGCCGAGUCGAUAUUUAUUGGACUUAAAUAAUUAAUCCAAUUAUAUUAGCCUAUAAUUUAUUUGGACUAGUAUAUGUAAAAUAUAAUCCAAAUUAUUUAUUUAAUUUGAAUCGAAUAAAUUUUACAUGUAUACGAAUGUUAGGUCUUCCUUAUGUUUUUGUUAAUUAUAACUUUAAAAAAAUAUUGCUACCUUUCCCAUUUCUCUUUCCUAAUGUUACUUUAAAAGUUAAUUUUUUUUCCUUUUAAAUAAGAUUUUCUCAAAUACCUUUAAUAUCUUUUAACAUUUUAUAUGGUUUUAUCUGAUUAGUAAUGGUUUUGAUGUAGUUCUUUUUAUUUUUAAAUUUUUAAAUUUAUAAUUUAUAAAAUUAUAUAAAAGUGAUUAAAUUGAUCCCCUUGACCACCCACUUUUCUUUCAUUCUAGUGAAGAAAUUAAUGGACGUCACAUAUAUAGUCAUUAAAGUAGUAAUGGAUGUAUUAGAUUAUGGUCACUAAUAGGUGUAAUAAUCUUUUCUGUCUUGUACAAUGAUUAAGAGAUGAAAAUUUACAUCGUAAUUGUUUGAUCCAAAAACUAAAUUUGGAAGACAUAAUUAAACUUAUAUUUUGAGGUCUCUAGCAAUUAGUCCGAUCCAAAAGUUGAACAAAACGAUCGAUAAUCGUAAAUAAUGAAUGAGAUAAAAUAAAGAUAAAAGAAAAAUUAAUCUUAUUAAAUGUAAGCCUCGAUGAGCUAUAAUAACAGUUGCAUUAACAAUCUACGGGGUAACUAAACAAAGCUUACAACAAUAUAAGAAGAGCCUCAAUUAUAUUCUUUUUCCUUUUUUCCUAUGCUCCUCUUUCGAGAUACAAAGGUGAUACUUAUAGUCGUGGGGAGGAGGAUCGUUGUCGUUACGAGUUUUGAACCAGCACGUCGAGAAGUUAGGUAGUGGGGAGCGAGAAUCUCGAUAAUGGUAACCAAUUUAACGUAACGUUCGAUGACCACACAAUAUCCCGGCGCGGUUGACUGCGUCUUCCAAUAUACCUUUUUUAAAUUUUAUUCUUAUCCCAUUUGAUCACCUUUGUUGGAGCUAUUGCUCCUUUGGUGAAUCGAAUCCACAACCCUGAACUUGUAGGUGAGGGUCCGGAGCAAUCCCCUCUUGUCCCAAUACACUUUUUUAUUCUUCGAAUACUACGUGGAGAAGGUAAAUUUUAUCAAUACAAUAAUAUCACAAGUUCCUCACUUAAUUUUCUAAAAGAAAUAAAAAAAAAUCAUCUAUUAAUAAUUUUUUUUAUUACAUAAAUACAUCAGUUAGAAAUUGAAAGAGAGAAUUUCAAUAGUGAAAAAUCAAACUUAUACAUAUUCCCUUUAUCAAACUUAUACAUCUAUUGUGUAAAAAGUUUGUAUCAAUAUCACUACUACAAUAAGCAUCACUGAUAAUAAACAAGCAUAUUCCCUUUUAUCUGAAAUUAAGAUUAAAAGAAUUUGUUUGGCCAGGAAUUAAAAUAAAAUGAUCCCUUUUGGCUUUUGGGUUGGGUUACAAAAGAAGCGCCAAACAAUUUGGAUCCACUUGGCUAUACGCAAAUAACUGUCCAUUCUCUCUCUUACGCUAAAAAGAUUUGGAAUUUCUGCUUCCCUUUCACUUCACAUUACAAUUUCAUUCUCACUCUCCGUUUCAAUCCACCCCAAUUCCCAUUUCAGGUAAUUCUCUCCCUCUCUACAUCUGUAUACAUUUUAUUGUUAUCUAAGUAUCUGCUGCCUCGUACCAGCAUAGGUUGGUUAAAUUUGUCCACCAAGGUUUAGAAAAUGGUUCUAGAUAUGUAUAUAUACACCAAUUGUCUGUUCAAUCUUUAUUGGGUUUUGUGGGAUUUCUUGCUAGAAACCGUUUUUUGAUAGAAUCUGACGGUGUCCGUAUAAAUUUGUGUAUAUAGAGGGAAGAUGUGAUAAUCAACUUAAUUGAUUUGGAUCCUUUUUUACCCAUAACUUGAAUGUUGGUGUUGCUCCACUUGAUUUGGAGUUUCUUUGGUCCCUUCUAGGAAAGAUUGUAAUUUGAUUGUAACUUGGGGUAUAAUCAAAUUUUAGCCUUAAGUUUUUUCGCAAGUACUCAUAUCCUGUGCCUUUAACUGUAUGCAAUUGAUUAAGAUUACAAGUUUCAUGCGUAGAGGAUUUGGUACUUUUACACGAUUAGUUUGUGAAUCUGUUAAAUAUUUGCCAAAUUCAAGCUUGUUCAAGUAAUUUCUAUAUUGAAGUAAUCUGGGCUGUGAUGUUGAAAUGUGUCAAAAUUUUGUGCUGUUGUGGAAUUUGCCCCCAGAUAUUUAGGUUUUUAUGGUCGGAAAUGGAUAGCUCAUUGCCCAUAGACCUGCAUUACACUGUAGUUUCGAGUUAGGCGUGAAAAGUUUGAACCUUUUUGGCGCAUUUCCUACUUUUUGAGAGUAAAUGAUACUGGCGCUAGCUAAUUCAAUUCUUUAGUUUGUGGCAAAGAGUUUUAGAAGAUUCUCGGUUAUUAAGUCCUGAUAGCCGUUGGCGUACUAAGGAGUUACGUAUUGGAGCUUACAUGUUUGCUCCUACGGUAAUGAGGACGGUCCGACGGGGGAUAAAUAAUUUUAAGUUGGGAACUGAAAAGGCCAAAGGGGUAAUUAAAAAGAAGGCUGGAUUUAGUGAGUUGUUUUUCGUCAUUAAUGACAAGUAAACAAGAUAGGUAUGAUAAAAGAAAGGGUUUGUUUUGCUCUAGACGAGUUUGCAUGAACAUGAAAUGACUGAGGCUCAAAAGGUUAUAAUAUAUCUUUUUGUCUCUCUCUGUCUCUUGUUUUCUUGUUGGUAGCCAUCUUUUUAUGUGGGAUGCGUUGAGUUCGAUAGAGCUUAUACAUUUGCUUGAUAUGCAAAGGACUAUUACUCGCUCCAGACAACUUCUCAUUCUCUGGGUUCUUUUGGUUUCUGGAUAAUAUCAUUGAGACUCAUUAACCCCACCGGUCCUCAUAUGAUUGAAGUAUCUUGUAUUUGGGGAUUGUGUUGGGAUUCUAUAAUUCCACUAUUAUGGAUUAGGGGUGACAAUCUGCCCCUUCUCACUGUCGCUGCAUGCUUGACCCUGAAAGCCUAUUGUGUCCUUCAUGGGUCAAUUUCUUUUAAUUCGGGAUUCAUUUUUUUUUGUGUGGACUGAAACAUGUUAUAAAAACGAAAAUAUUCUAUCCAGUAACCCAUCUCUAGUUGUAUAAUCCUGCCAAAUCCCAGUCAUGAACCAAACAAUUCCCAUAGGUUUUGCAAAUAAUUAUGGACAAGAGUGGGUUGCUCUAGUGGUGAGCACCCUGCACUUCCAACCAAGAGAUUGUGAGUUCGAGUCGCCCCAAGAGCAAGGUGGGGAGUUCUUGGAGGGAGGGAGCCGAGGGUCUAUCGGAAACAACCUCUCUACCUCAGGGUAGGGGUAAGGUCUGCGUACACACUACCCUCCCCAGACCCCACUAGUGGGAUUAUACUGGGUUGUUGUUGUUGUAUGGACAUGCUGUAAUCAUGGCACAAGAAUACAUAGUGCUUUAUAGGGAAAAAGUUAGCUUCUAUGUGCUAAUGGAUUUCUGUUAUGGGCUUAUUUGUAAUUAACAAGCUUUUGGUCUUGCUUUCUUCAAUGCUAUUUGAAAGAUGAUAAAACUAUAAGCCAUAAAGAAAAUGUGUCUCUACUAUCUAAUCUAAUACUGCUUCUAUCUUUCAUUGCUUAGUUUUCCUUAUUGUUGCAUGUUCCAGAGGAUAGGCAAGUUUAGCAACAAUUCUGAACUUCGUCACCUUACUUUCCUUUUUCCCCACUUCUUGUUUCAGAGCGAAGCUAAUUUACAUCACUCAUGGAUCGCCUAACCAGUGCUGCACGUCUCAUGAUAGUCUCAGAUCUAGACCAUACAAUGGUGGGUUUGUCAUAGUUGUCAUUUCUCCUGCAUAUGCUGCUGUAACUUACAUGAGAUUUUGCUUUACAGGUAGAUCAUCAUGAUGCCGAGAACCUUUCUCUGCUUAGAUUUAAUGCUUUAUGGGAGGCGAAUUAUCGUGAUAACUCUUUGUUAGUGUUCUCAACUGGGAGAUCACCUACACUUUACAAGGAGUUGAGGAAAGAAAAGCCCAUGCUAACCCCAGAUAUUACUAUUAUGUCGGUGGGAACUGAAAUAACAUAUGGUAACUCUAUGGUGCCUGAUGAUGGUUGGGAAGCUUUUCUAAAUAACAAGUGGGACAGAAAGAUAGUAACAGAGGAGACUAGCAAGUUUCCUGAACUCACUCUACAGGUACACUUAUGGGUUGACAUGAGAUCAUUUGUUACUUCAGUUUCGAUUACAAAGCUUAAAGUUAAUAGUAGAACUUGAAAAUCAGUUAUGUUUAAAAAUAGUAUGUAAACUGAAACAUAACUUCAGCAACUGAUAUCUGUAAAAGCAACUUCUUUUAAUCCCUGCAGUCAGAAACGGAGCAGCGACCACACAAGGUCAGUUUCUAUGUUCAGAAAGACAAAGCACAAGAUAUAAUGAAAACUCUUUCCAAGCGCUUCGAAGAACGUGGGGUACGACACAACUUUUGCACUUCAGAUUUUGGCAUCAAUAUGAAUAAGUUCAUACAGCAAGAUGAGAGCAUGUCAUUCUUUCUACGCUUCAGUGAACUCAAUUCAUUUAGAUUCAUAUUGAGUUUCAUUUCUUUUCUAUCUGAUUUUUUCUGUCUUUUGUGGUCAUCAGCUGGAUGUCAAAAUAAUUUACAGUGGAGGCAUGGAUCUAGAUAUAUUACCACAAGGUGCUGGCAAAGGACAAGCACUUGCAUAUUUGCUUAAGAAAUUGAAGAGUGAGGGAAAAUUACCAAACAACACCCUUGCCUGUGGUGACUCUGGGAAUGAUGCUGAGCUAUUCAGUAUCCCAGAUGUGUAUGGUGUAAUGGUUGGUGGUUCAGCUGUUUUCCAAUAUAUCCUUAUAAUCCGGUAAUAUAUUUUCAUGUUUGUGGUCAAAAGUACUCUCUAAGUGUACAGUCACUUUGCAGGUAGCUAAUGCACAGGAGGAAUUAUUGCAAUGGCAUGCUGCAAAUGCGAAGAAUAAUCCUAAAGUAAUUCAUGCAACAGAGAGGUGUGCUGCCGGUAUCAUACAAGCUAUUGGUCAUUUCAACCUAGGUCCAAGUACCUCCCCUAGAGAUGUUAUGGAUUUGUCAGACUGCAAGAUGGAGAACUUUGUUCCCGCCUAUGAAGUUGUCAAAUUUUACCUAUUUUUUGAGAAAUGGAGGCGUGGAGAAAUUGAGCAUUCUGAGCAUUACCUGUCAAACCUUAAAGCAGUGUGUGUAUGUUUUAGUACCCUAUACCUACUGUUAUUUCAUUUUCUUAUGUGUAUUUUGUGUUAGGAAUUUGACUGCGGAUUCUAGAAAUCUUCCCUCCCUAAGUACUCCCGACCCUACUCCUACCCCUNNNNNNNNNNNNNNNNNNNNNNNNNAAGUCUGAACAGAAUAUAGGCACUUUUAAAUUUUUUUGGUAUCCACAUGUAUGAAUUUUAAAUAACAAACUGAAGUAGUAUCUUAUACUCAAUAAAUAAUUAAAAAAAGUGGUAUCUUGUACUCUCCAUGUACUCUCUCUCUCCCCUCAUGGUUUUGAUUUCUGGUUGAGUGGGAGGGCGAAGGUGAGUGGUGGGUUUAAACCAGGUGAUUAUUUUGUCAUUGUGGUUAGCGAUCGUAUCGGAGCUUGAUGAAGAUGUCACGCAUCAUAUCGGAGCUUGAUAGAUGAAGUGGAGGCUCGCUUCCAGUGUCUUAUGUGAUAAGAAUGUGCCGCUGAAACUUAAAGGUAAGUUCUACAAGAUUGUAGUUAGACCGACUAUAUUGUAUGGAGCAGAGUGUUGGCCGGUCAAGAACUCUCAUACCCAGAAGUUAAAAGUAGCUGAGAUGAGGAUAUUGAGGUGGAUGUGUGGGCAUACCCGGUUGGAUAAGAUUAAGCAUGAAGUUAUUCGGAAAAAAGUGAGAGUGGCCCCUGUGGAGGAUAAGAUGCAUGAGGCGAGGUUGAGAUGGUUCGGGCAUGUUAAGAGAAGUAUAGAAGCCCCAGUUAGAAGGUGUGAGCGGUUAGCCUCGGUGAGCGGCAUGCGGGGUAGAGGUAGGCCUAAGAAGUCUUGGGGAGAGGUUAUUAGGCGGGACAUGGCGCAGCUGGAGCUGACUGAGGACAUGACCCUAAACAGGAGGGUGUGGAGGUCAAAGAUUAGGGUAGAAGGUUAGUAGGUAGUCGAGCGUUUCUCUUUGUCUUACUAAGUUCGCUAGCAUUAAUGUUAGUAAGUUUUCUUUUAUUCAUAGAUGGCUAUUAUUACCUAGAGUUUGAUUGCAUUCUUGGAUUCGAUCUUAUUUCAUCUUGCUGUUAUUCCUGCUUGUUGCAAUUACCUUUUCUUUUUCGGUCAUUCUCUAGCCGAGAGUCUAUCGGAAACAACCUCUCUGCCCUUCCAAGGGUAAGAGUAAGACUGCGUACAUCUUAACCUCCCCAGACCCCACUCGUGGGAAACUACUGGGUUUGUUGUUGUUAUUGUUAUUGUUGUUGUUGGUUAGCGAUCCUUAUUUGCCAACUCUUCUAUUACUGCAGAGACCAUCUGGUACUUUUGUCCACCCAUCUGGUGUUGAGAAAUCCCUCCAGGAAUGUGUAACUUUAUUCGGGACAUGUCAUGGUGACAAACAGGGGAAACAAUUUCGUAUUUGGGUCGAUCAAGUUUUACCUGUACAGGUUGGUUCGGACUCAUGGUUAGUGAGUUUCAAGAAAUGGGAGCUCUCUGGUGAGUAUCUUUUACCUCAUGCGAUGGUCUUUCAUUUUGCUCUCAACUUUGUACAUGCUCCUAGAAGUCAGUGUGUUUCUCUUCACUUUUAUAGUCUAUCACAUGCUUUUCCCAGACUGGGCCUUUCACGUAAUAAUUCGACCUCAUUUACUAAAUUCUGUCCCUCCCUUGGUGUUUUUGUGUGCUAAGUUGCUCGAACUCUUCACUUUCGUUCCGCACCCGUGUUGACACGACGUGGGUGCGGGAUCCGUACCGGAUCUGGUCAACCGGUUGUUUUGGGUACUUUGAUCAAAAUCGACGGAGAAAUUUGGGACAGAUACAAUAAUUUUUUAAAUCAAAACAAAAGCUAGGGUGAAAUUGAAGAAAAUGGAAUAUCUUGUAUAUAGAAAUUGCAAUGUCAUUCCUUUUCCUUUUAUCUCCUCGGAUUCUCCUCUUGAUCAAUAUAUUAUCCUUCUAGGAAUACCUUGUAAAUUAUCCACAUAGUGUCACAUAAUUUAGACAUAUUUUAUAACUCUAAUUUUAGAUAUUUGGACUAUCUUUAGCCAAAUCCCUACACUCAUAUCCGUACCUGAAUCUGUCUCAAAAUUUAGAUCAUGAAAGGAUCCAACCUCUAGAUCCACAACCGUAUCGGACACUCGUAUCCCAUUCCGAGCAACUUAGUUUGUGUGGCUCAAACACCCUUUUAUGUGAUUUUCCUCCAUCUUAAUGUAGAUGUGUUUUUCUUCCUUCAAUGGUAGUGAAGUAAUUUUCUGAAUAGGCUUAAGGAGGAGCUGAGUAUCUGUAGUUAUUUAUUGUAACUUGUUAUUAGACCUGCUUGCAUUUCAAAUUCUAUCUUAAGCUUUCGAAGGUUUUUGAGUUUUAUUAGUUGAAGAACAAACUAGGAGGAGGGAAGGUGUGGGGUAAAGAGAUAUUACUUACGUUGUUGAAAUAGAAAUCUUUUGUUUGCUUCAAGCAUGCAAACAUGUUGUUUGAAGUUGUGUUCCAGCAACAGAGACGAGCCAUUUGGAACAGUUGAUGCCUGAAGCCAUACUUUAAAUAUGCGUCAACGAGAUAAUAAUUUGGGUUCUUUCCUUUUGGAAUACUUUGGCUAGCUAUCUCAAUCGCACAGCAGUUUUAUAUACUCAUUCCUGCAAAUCACAGCCACAGUCUACCAAUUGUGCACUGAUUCUGUUCCUUGCCUUACGAGACUUCUUGAGCAUACACCAAAUCCCACGCUAAGCCCUUACAAAACCAAUUGAAGCUUCAGUUGUGAACAUUAGUAGUUGGAGCAUUAUAAUGAGUGAAGUAUCUAGCCUUUCCAUUUUCGACCUUAGGUGAGGUUUAGGUGCUUGUAAUAUUUGAGCCCCUAAUCUUUGGAUUACAGUGCCCACACAGCUUUGGUCUACUAAGAAGUCUAAAAAGAAUAGUUCUUAUCAGAAAAAUAAAGUCUAAACAGAACAGUCUUGCAACCAAAGAGUCUCCCUAUUUUCCUUUCUGAUUUCGCAGUAGGAAUAGAUAAAAAAGGGCAACCCGGUGCACUAAGCUCUCGCUAUGCGCGGGGUUCGGUGAAGGGCCGGAUCACAAGGGUCUAUUGUAUGCAGCAUUACCCUAUAUUUCUGCAAGAGGCUAUUUUCAUGUCUCGAACUCGUGACCUCCUAUUCACUGGCUGCUUGCCUUUUCCCACACCUGCAUUUUCGUUCUCAUAGCUCUUUUAUCAUUUUCACAUUGCUAUCUUAUAAGUUGCUUAUUCCUGCAGGUGAAGACAGGCGAUGUUGCAUAACUACAGUCCUAUUAAGUUCAAAGGUAAAAUUUCAAAUUUGCAGACUAAGGAUUUUUCCAUGUAAAUUUUACAACUGAAGCCUAAUAUAAUCUGUCGUUGUCCCAGAAUAAGACUGUCGCAGAUGGACUCACUUGGACCCACGUACAUCAGACAUGGCUGAAUGGAGCUGCAGCAAGUGACUCUACGACCUGGUUCUUUUAGAUUGUCAUCUCAGUUUAACUCUGAAAAGUCAGUACUCCUUUUACCAAUUCACCCAUAAUAAACACAAAAUACAAACUAUAUCAAUAUGCAUCAGUGGCCGCUGGUGGCUUCCGCUUCUUCCUGGCCCAUUCUUGUCUCACUCUUCUUCAUUGAUAAUCAAUGUAUAACCAUCUACAGUCUAAACCGUGAAGAUGGCUUCAUCUUUUGUAGUAUAAAAGUUUAUAUUAGCUGCAACAGUUGUACUAUUGACAGUUGUAGCUGUCAUUUCUUAUUCACACUGAGAUUGUUACAAAUUACUGCAUAGUAGCCUGUGUAGGUUGUGGUAUCAUCUUUAAGCCUGGAUUACAUGUAUGUUUACUACGUAAGUUAUAGUGGCUUAUAACAUACUUUGCCUCCCUAAUGAUUUUUUUAGUCACCUACCUCGAAGAAACGCAAGGUUAAACUUUAGUCAUUACAAUAGCUUUGCACUAAUCUUCCGCUAUGCGUGGGGUCCGGGAAAGGGCCAGAUCACAAUGUUUAUUAUACACAGUCUUACUCUGCAUUUAUGUGAGAGACUGUUUUUACGGCUCGAACCCGUGAUCUCUUGGUCAUAUGGAAGCAACUUUAUUAGUUACGCCAAGUCAUUACAAUAGUAAAGUAAAAAUAUUAUCUUUUGUCAUACUAAGGUAACUGAACUUUUUCCGAGUGUGUCUCAUCUUGAGAAACAUUGACAUUGUACCGAAUGCGCCUCCCCCUAUUUUGACAAUGACACCGGUAAUUUCUUAAUUCUCUUGAGGAAAUUCUUAUUAUUUUUCACUAGGAAAAGGAAUUUUGCCUAAACAGGAUUGAUAUCAAAGCAUGCGAAAAAUUCAUGGGAAAAACAAAAGGCACCACGGUUUGGAAAUAGCAAAUUAAAAGAUCAAACACUACUAAUUAUAGUGUUCCUUCAUUAAUUCCAAGUGUAGGUUAAAAGAUUAUUUAUCGCCAAAUCUUUCCAUGAUUACAACGCAAAAUACAAUUUAUAGAAGUAGAAAGAGUUGAUAACAAACUCUUGAAAUAUUAAGAUCAAAUACCAAUUUAACUGCUUUGGCCAGUAAUCUUAUCAAGGCAAUCACUAGCAAUCCCUUGUGCCCAAUUGUCAAAUUUCUUGAACUCAGGAUCAAAUCCAUAUAUAGAAGUAGCACAUUCAUUGCAAGUAUCAAUGUUUGUUGACAUUGCACUAACAUCCACAUUAGCUUUGUACAUAUUUCCUGCUUUGACAUCUUCCUCAGUCCUCUUCAUUGCAUCCUUUGCAUCUUCAAAGACAGAUUUGCAUGUCUCAAGACAAUCCUUAGCAUAAAUAUCUGUGUUUGGUUCAGCCAAACGUUUGUCAAUGACUUUGGUAAUAAAUUCGUCGGUCUUGGACAUUGUUGCGUCCAUGAUAGCUUUUACAAAUAUCGAGACAUCCCCUGUUGAUACAACGGGGAUGUUUUUUGGAAUUUCAAAAGUUGUUGUAGAGGCUACAGAAGCAGUUAGGGACGACAAUGAAGAGGCCGAGGCAGAGGAUGAGGAUGAGGAUGAGGAUGAGGAUGAGGUCGAGGUCGAGAAGGAGGAGGAUUGUUGUGGGGAAAGGGCAGGUGCAUGGGAUUGUGAUGGAGUGGGGUAAUUUUUGUAUGCCUUAGAGGGGAGGGUUGUAAGGAAGAAAGAAAUGGCGAAGACAAGAAAUAUUUGGGUAUAAAACGCCAUUGUCCUUUUUUUUUAAAUUUAUUUAGAAGAGAAAAAAGAUGGCAAAAGACGAUGGGGAAAAGAAAGUGGUGAAUUCAAGGAGAUUCAUUGGGUGUUUUUAUACGUAAAAUUGAGUUAUAGCUUCAUUGGCUAUGCUAAAAUAUAGAUUUUCAAGUGCAUAUUAACCAGCAUUUGACAAUUUCGUUUUAGAGAUUCUAGUUCUCUAAUUUAUUAUUGAAGGAUAGAAUUUUUUGGCCCCAUAACUCACCCGGCCACACAACGUUGAAUCGAAUUACAAAAUACUUUGUGCAUCAAACAGUUUGAUUCAAACUGCUCUUUUAUUAUAGAUAAGUUAAAAGAAUUAGACAAAAACUUUGUUUUUUUAUGAAUGUGGGUAUAUUGUAUUAAUACUAAUAUUAUUCAAAGUUAUUACAGAUCAUAGUACUGCCUCUUAGGGUAUUUUCAUUGCCAAGUUCAAUCAGCCUAGUACAUGCGUUAUAUGUAAUUAGUUUAACAAAGCAUUUCCCACUAAUUAUGUUGAUUAGUUUAAAUUAAUUAGAAUUUGGUAGUUUAUGUUAUGAAAGAAGUUAUGCCGGGAUAACUUUUGUGUAAAUAACACGAUAUCUAUCAUUUGAAACUUUAUAUUAUUUUAUUGAAGUGACCUAAUAAAUUUCAAAAUAAAGACUUUUAAGAAAGAUAAUGUAGGUCUUUAAACUCAUAAACAAAUUAGCACUUUAGUUUUCAGACACAUUAAAUAACCUUAUCAUAACUCUAUUUGUCACCCCUAAGCUUUUGAAAAGAAGAAUACUCCAAUUUGAAGGCAAAAGGUUUUCAAAUGACAAAAAGGGGAUAUAUUUACUAAACUUUUCAUCCAGAUGAAAAAUUCACAUAAAAUUACAUAAAGCUUUUUAGCACUUGGUUCUCCUACAGCGAAAGCCCAAAAAGAAAAAUACUAUAAGCUAGACUUGAGUGACAAGUCAAAGAUCCUUACACUUGUGGCAAUAUUUUUUUUAAGCUUCGUGUAAAAGACAUAUGUCAUGUAAUCAUUUGUUUGGUUAAUACAAUGAGUUUUUUUCCUUUCCAAAAUAAGGUUAAUUAUCUUCUAUAAACUGUAGUAUAAAAUAAUUUAUAAAUAUCAGGUCAUUCUAAAAAAUAAUUGCUAAUCAACCAUAUAAAAUAUGAUUAGUACCUGAAAAGUGAUAUAGGUUACCAACUACAACAUGUCAAAUUAUGCUAAUAGUAUAAAAAUUCUUUACAAUUAUCGGUGCAUAUAAAUUAAAUCCUUUCAAAUUAUGGAAUGCUUGAUAUGUAAAUGAUCUAACACCAAUUUUGAUUUCCAAAUUGCUAAAACGUGUGUUUGAGAAAUUUUUAAUCAAAGAAGAAAAGAAAUUACAGUACAGCAAAAUUGUUACCAAUAUAAUUAUUAGUUAGCCAAGAGUCUUGACCAAUUCUUUCCCCUGAAUUACAAACCCAACAAGGUAAUAAAAGAGAACACUAAUUAAAUAAACAUUAGCCAGGUUAUUAAUUAUUAAUAUUCCACCCAAACCACCUGAAUCCUCAGCUAUAAAGAACAACCAUAUAAAAAUUGUAUCUUUAUGAAUUAAUAGUCUUAUAUUAAUUUAACAUAUGCACUGACUGUCAAUGCAUAUAAGUUAAAUCCAGUCUUUUUAUAAUUUAACUGCUAAAGCCCACAAUUUUUUCCAAGGCAUCUUCAGUAAUUUUCUCUGCCCAAUCAUCAAAUGACAUGA